GCCUCUGUAGCAUAGUGGUGGUGCGGCUGACUCGUAAUCAGCAGGUCGGGAGUUCAAAUCUCCCCAGAGGCU
rnacentral:tRNA from 1 species